UUAUUCCUUAUGGACACCAGGCCACAUUCUUCAACGGAAGAACCGACCUCUUGAUUUGUAUUUGACGUUAAUGGAGAUUGUAUAAUUCAUUUACUUUACAAGUUAUCUUGGAUUGACAUACUUCAAAGACCUUGGAAAUUGGGUUAGUCCACAGUACCGAAGAACAGAUGCUUGAUUCCAUCUAGUUCAUUUCUAAAUUGUCCAUCCAGAUAAGAAACCUGAGGCACAGAGAGGGUAUGAAUCUCUGAAAGGACGGUAUUCAGGUUCAGAAUGAAAACAAAGAAGAAACCAUGGAGCAAUAAAAAAUGUCUUCAAAAAUG